GAUGAAGAACGCAGCGAAAUGCGAUACUUGGUGUGAAUUGCAGAAUCCCGUGAACCAUCGAGUCUUUGAACGCAAGUUGCGCCCGAAGCCACUAGGCCGAGGGCACGCCUGCCUGGGCGUCACACGUCGUUGCCCCCCCCCCAUCUACUCCUUCGGGAUUGCGGGGGGCGGAUGAUGGCCUCCCGUGCGCCCAGCCGCGCGGUUGGCAUAAAUACCAAGUCCUCGGCGACGCACGCCACGACAAUCGGUGGUUGCGAAACCUCGGUUGCCCGUCGUGUGCGUUCGUCGCGCAUCGAGGGCUCGAAAAAAUGCUCGGCUCCGGCUCGGCUUUCAACGCGACCCCAGGUCAGGCGGGGUUACCCGCUGAAUUUAAGCAUAUCAAUAAGCGGAGGA
rnacentral:misc_RNA from 1 species